GACCGGCAAACGGGUGCGGAACACGUACGCUACCUUCCCAUAACUGGUGAAUAGCCUUCCGAAAGGGAGAUUAAUACACCGUAACAUAACGAGAUGGCAUCAUCUUGUUAUUAUAGCUUCGGCGGUUUUGGAUGGGCGUGCGCCUGAUUAGGUAGUUGGCGGGGUAACGGCCCACCAAGCCUCCGAUCAGUAACUGGUGUGAGAGCACGACCAGUCACACGGGCACUGAGACACGGGCCCGACUCCUACGGGAGGCAGCAGUAAGGAAUAUUGGUCAAUGGACGCAAGUCUGAACCAGCCAUGCCGCGUGAAGGAUGAAGGCCCUCUGGGUUGUAAACUUCUUUUAUCUGGGACGAAAAACGGGCUUUCUAGCUCACUUGACGGUACCAGAGGAAUAAGCACCGGCUAACUCCGUGCCAGCAGCCGCGGUAAUACGGAGGGUGCAAGCGUUAUCCGGAUUUACUGGGUUUAAAGGGUGCGUAGGUGGGUAGGUAAGUCAGUGGUGAAAUCUUCAAGCUUAACUUGGAAACUGCCAUUGAUACUAUUUAUCUUGAAUACUUUGGAGGUAAGCGGAAUAUGUCAUGUAGCGGUGAAAUGCUUAGAUAU
rnacentral:rRNA from 1 species